rnacentral:rRNA from 1 species
CCUACGGGCGGCAGCAGUGGGGAAUAUUGGACAAUGGGCGAAGGCCUGAUCCAGCCAUGCCGCGUGUGUGAAGAAGGCCUUCGGGUUGUAAAGCACUUUCAGUGGGGAAGAAAGCCUUGGGGCUAAUACCCUCGAGGAAGGACAUCACCCACAGAAGAAGCACCGGCUAACUCCGUGCCAGCAGCCGCGGUAAUACGGAGGGUGCGAGCGUUAAUCGGAAUUACUGGGCGUAAAGCGCGCGUAGGCGGUCUGAUAAGCCGGUUGUGAAAGCCCCGGGCUCAACCUGGGAACGGCAUCCGGAACUGUCAGGCUAGAGUGCAGGAGAGGAAGGUAGAAUUCCCGGUGUAGCGGUGAAAUGCGUAGAGAUCGGGAGGAAUACCAGUGGCGAAGGCGGCCUUCUGGACUGACACUGACGCUGAGGUGCGAAAGCGUGGGUAGCAAACAGGAUUAGAUACCCUGGUAGUC